rnacentral:rRNA from 1 species
UCAAGUGAAUAAGUGCAUGUGGUGGAUGCCUUGGCGAUUACAGGCGAUGAAGGACGUUGUAGCCUGCGAAAAGCCGCGGGGAGCUGGCAAACAAGCUUUGAUCCGCGGAUGUCCGAAUGGGGAAACCCACCCGCAAGGGUAUCGCUGACUGAAUCCAUAGGUCAGCGAGGCGAACGUGGCGAACUGAAACAUCUAAGUAGCCACAGGAAAAGAAAUCAACCGAGAUUCCGAAAGUAGUGGCGAGCGAAAUCGGAGCAGCCUGUGCGUGAUAGUCGAUUGGCUAGUGGAACGGUAUGGAAAGGCCGGCCAUAGAGGGUGAUAGCCCCUUACACGAAAGCGAAUCGGUGGUACUGAGCGUACGACAAGUAGGGCGGGACACGUGUAAUCCUGUCUGAAGAUGGGGGGACCAUCCUCCAAGGCUAAAUACUCGUAAUCGACCGAUAGUGAACAAGUACUGUGAAGGAAAGGCGAAAAGAACCCCGGGAGGGGAGUGAAAUAGAUCCUGAAACCGCAUGCAUACAAACAGUCGGAGCCUCGCAAGGGGUGACGGCGUACCUUUUGUAUAAUGGGUCAGCGACUUACGUUCAGUGGCAAGCUUAACCAGAUAGGGGAGGCGCAGGGAAACCGAGUCCGAAUAGGGCGCCAUAGUCGCUGGGCGUAGACCCGAAACCAGGUGAUCUAUCCAUGGUCAGGAUGAAGGUUGGGUAACACCAGCUGGAGGUCCGAACCGACUAAUGUUGCAAAAUUAGCGGAUGAACUGUGGAUAGGGGUGAAAGGCUAAUCAAACUUGGAAAUAGCUGGUUCUCCCCGAAAACUAUUUAGGUAGUGCGUCAUGUAUUGCUCCAGGGGGUAGAGCACUGUAAUGGUUGUGGGGGCCAUCGCGGCUUACCACGCCAUAGCAAACUCCGAAUACCUGGAAGUAUGAGCAUGGCAGACAGUCGCCGGGUGCUAACGUCCGGCGGCAAGAGGGAAACAACCCAGACCUACAGCUAAGGUCCCAAAGUGUGGCUAAGUGGGAAACGAAGUGGGAAGGCUAAAACAGUCAGGAUGUUGGCUUAGAAGCAGCCAUCAUUUAAAGAAAGCGUAAUAGCUCACUGAUCGAGUCGUCCUGCGCGGAAGAUGUAACGGGGCUAAGCCAUGCACCGAAGCUUAGGCUGCACUCUCUGAGUGCGGGGUAGGGGAGCGUUCUGUAAGCCUGUGAAGGUGUCUCGUAAGGGAUGCUGGAGGUAUCAGAAGUGCGAAUGCUGACAUGAGUAGCGUUAAAGCGGGUGAAAAGCCCGCUCGCCGUAAGCGCAAGGUUUCCUACGCAACGUUCAUCGGCGUAGGGUGAGUCGGCCCCUAAGGUGAGGGCGAAAGCCAUAGCUGAUGGGAAGCUGGUUAAUAUUCCAGCACCGAUAUCCAGUGCGAUGGGGGGACGGAUCGUGGAAGGUUGUCCGGGUGUUGGAAGUCCCGGUUCCUGACCUGUAGGUGUCUGGUAGGUAAAUCCGCCAGGCGUAUGCCAAGGGGUUGGGACGAGCGAGCUUGCUCGCGAAGCAACUGGAAGUGGUUCCAAGAAAAGCCUCUAAGCUUCAGCUGGAUACGACCGUACCGCAAACCAACACUGGUGCGCGAGAUGAGUAUUCUCAGGCGCUUGAGAGAACUCGGGAGAAGGAACUCGGCAAAUUGACACCGUAACUUCGGAAGAAGGUGUGCCUUGGUAGCUUGAGUGUGAACAACACAAGGGCGAAGAGGUUGCAAAGAAUAGGUGGCUGCGACUGUUUAUUAAAAACACAGCACUCUGCAAACACGAAAGUGGACGUAUAGGGUGUGACGCCUGCCCGGUGCCGGAAGGUUAAGUGAUGGGGUGCAAGCUCUUGAUCGAAGCCCCGGUAAACGGCGGCCGUAACUAUAACGGUCCUAAGGUAGCGAAAUUCCUUGUCGGGU